rnacentral:rRNA from 1 species
UAGCGAAGGGGGCUAGCGUUGCUCGGAAUCACUGGGCGUAAAGCGCACGUAGGCGGACUCUUAAGUCGGUGGUCGAAAUCCUGGAGCUCAACUCCAGAACUGCCUUCGAUACUGAGAGUCUCGAGGUCCGGGAGAGGUGAGUGGAACUGCGAGUGUAGAGGUGAAAUUCGUAGAUAUCGCAAGAACACCAGUGGCGAAGGCGGCUCACUGGCCCGGUACUGACGCUGAGGUGCGAAAGCGUGGGGAGCGAACAGG